GGAGGCUUCGCCUAGUCUGGUCUAUGGCGCCCGCCUGCUAAGCGGGUUUGGGGUUCAUCCCCCAUCCCGGGUUCAAAUCCCGGAGCCUCCGCCA
rnacentral:tRNA from 1 species